UAAACUCGGAAUCAGUCUAGCUUCGUGUCUAACGAAGUGUGACACGCGUGCCUGCUUAUAGUGUUCGAAGCGUUAUAGCGUGACUACUUUCCGAAUUAACAAUCAGUGUAUUCCUUCGUUACUCAGUUUUGAAGCGUGCAGCUCGACAGUGAACAGUUCAAGUUUAAUAUUUGUUUAAAUGGAGAGAAUGAAUAUAACUAACACGAUCGCAGCUGUUGGACAUCUGCUGCUCUUUUUCCUUCGUCCUAUAAAUAAACUGAUUAACAUCAAGAGACUGCCAAAUCUACCGCCGAUCAAGAAUCCCUUGUUACAAGUUUCCGCAACGACGUUAGCCAGGAAGAUUAGGAACGGAGAAAAAUCGAUCGUUUCUAACUCCGAUAAUGGGAAAAGCUUUCCAGCCAAACCGUAGUGGAAGCAUAUAUCGAGCGUAUUAAGGAGGUGAAUCCUUUCCUAAAUGCAGUGGUGGAGGAACGGUUCGAGGGGGCCAUAAGAGACGCGAAAAAUUGCGACGAGAAACUGGAAAGAGGAGAAGUGAACGCUGAUACGCUGGAAACGGAACAACCGCUUUAUGGAGUGCCAAUUACCAUCAAGGAAUCCUGUGGCGUCGAAGGUAUGAGUCAUGCGGUAGGCGG